GACAGAGGGUGCAAACGUGUUCGGAAUUACUGGGCGUAAAGCGCGUGUAGGCGGUCUCGCAAGUCGGAUGUGAAAGCCCAGGGCUCAACCCUGGAAGUGCACUCGAUACUGCGAGGCUAGAGUCCCGGAGAGGAUGGUGGAACUCUCGGUGUAGAGGUGAAAUUCGUAGAUAUCGAGAAGAACACCGGUGGCGAAGGCGGCCAUCUGGACGGUGACUGACGCUGAGACGCGAAAGCGUGGGGGAGCAAACAGG
rnacentral:rRNA from 1 species